CCAAUAUUUUAAUUAUGCUGUAUGCUUUGCAUACUCAAAUCUUUUUUUGCAGGAUGCCCCCUCGUGUCAGAAUGAUUUCCUUAUCAAAUGUAGGUACACGGCUGGGCCACAGACAGCACUGAGUGAGCAGCUUUUAACAGACAACCAGGCUGUAGACAAUCAGAGAAGCUUACUCUAUCAGGAUUAUUUUGUACAGUGAGAAUUCAGAGAGAAUUUCAAAUGUUAGGCCAGAGUAGUAGAAAAGACAGCAUAG